CAACCCCUGCUGGCCCUUCAGUUUGUCUCCUGAGACUGGAUCCCACAAGGAACCACCUACACUGCAAAAUCACUAGAUGACAGGGUGAUUCAGGGGGACAUUGUUGGUGAUAUCCCAAAACCAGGAGAUUCCUCACAUGAAUGUGUGACAUCCACACAGUGGAACAUCCGAUAGCCUUAAACAAGAAGGAAGGGACACUCUAUGAACCAGUCCAGAAGCAUCCUGAGAGAGAAAACCUCUCCGGAAGAGGGCGUCCGAAGCUGGUGAAGCUGCUUCCCGGAAGCGGAGAGCGCUAGGCGGCACCGAGCAUGCUCCCUCUCCAGGACCUCCUCCCCAGUCUCUCAAAGCGGUCACUCCCAAAGAGAGCUUGGAUUAACAUCAUUUCUUCAAGAAGCCUUUCCUGGCCUCCAGACCAACGGAUCUCAACUGAAGGAGAUCUCUGUCCCACCAGGGGAUAUCUGGUAAUGUCUGGAAGAUGUUUUUGGUUGUCACAAAUGGGCCAGGCAUGUGGGUGGCUACUGGCAUCUAAUGGGUAGAGGCCAGGGAUGCUCUGAAACAUCCUACGAUGCACGAGGCAGCCCCAUCUGGUCCAGAAUGGCAGUAACAGUGCUGGGGUGACCCUGACCUGGACUAAAUCACGUGCCCAUGACACACUUUCAUCCCACACUCUAUUUCUGCUGUAGACCACCAAUCCCAAAUGCGACUACGUGUGUAAUGGUACGAAGAUACGGGCUGGGUUCCAUUUCCGAAGCUU